UUGUCUCAAAGAUUAAGCCAUGCAUGUCUCAGUACAAGCCAAAUUAAGGUGAAACCGCAAAAGGCUCAUUAAAUCAGUUAUGGUUCCUUAGAUCGUACCCACAUUUACUUGGAUAACUGUGGUAAUUCUAGAGCUAAUACAUGCAAACAGAGCUCCAACCGGAGACGGAAGGAGCGCUUUUAUUAGAUCAAAACCAAUCGGUGUCGGGUCUUUUCACGAAGAUUCGUCAUCGUAUAAUUUGGUGACUCUGAAUAACUUUAUGCUGAUCGCACGGUCUUGCACCGGCGACGUAUCUUUCAAAUGUCUGCCUUAUCAACUGUCGAUGGUAGGUUCUGCGCCUACCAUGGUUGUAACGGGUAACGGGGAAUCAGGGUUCGAUUCCGGAGAGGGAGCCUGAGAAACGGCUACCACAUCCAAGGAAGGCAGCAGGCGCGCAAAUUACCCACUCCCGGCACGGGGAGGUAGUGACGAAAAAUAACGAUACGGGACUCAUCCGAGGCCCCGUAAUCGGAAUGAGUACACUCUAAACCCUUUAACGAGGAUCAAUUGGAGGGCAAGUCUGGUGCCAGCAGCCGCGGUAAUUCCAGCUCCAAUAGCGUAUAUUAAAGUUGUUGCGGUUAAAAAGCUCGUAGUCGAAUCUGUGUCCCACGCCGCUGGUUCAUCGUUCGCGGUGUUAACUGGCGUGUCGCGGGACGUCCUGCCGGUGGGCUUAGCUCGCAAGGGCGGCCCAAUUUAAAUCCCGCCGCGGUGCUCUUCAUUGAGUGUCGAGGUGGGCCGGCACGUUUACUUUGAACAAAUUAGAGUGCUUAAAGCAGGCUAAAAUUUUGCCUGAAUAUUAUGUGCAUGGAAUAAUGGAAUAGGACCUCGGUUCUAUUUUGUUGGUUUUAGGAACCCCGAGGUAAUGAUUAAUAGGAACGGAUGGGGGCAUUCGUAUUGCGACGUUAGAGGUGAAAUUCUUGGAUCGUCGCAGACGG
rnacentral:rRNA from 1 species